rnacentral:rRNA from 1 species
GACGUAGGUGGCGAACGUUAUCCGGAAUUAUUGGGCGUAAAGGGUGCGUAGACGGCAUGAUAAGUUAUUAGUGGUAAAUCGAGGCUCAACCUCGUGGAAACUAGUAAUACUGUUUUGCUUGAGUGCAGAAGAGGUUAACGGAACUCCAUGUGGAGCGGUAAAAUGCAUAGAUAUAUGGAAGAACAUCAAUAACGGCGAAGGCAGUUAACUAUUCUGUUACUGACGUUGAGGCACGAAAGCGUGGGGAGCAAAACGG